GACGAACGCUGGCGGCGUGCUUAACACAUGCAAGUCGAACGGAAAGGCCCUGCUUUUGUGGGGUGCUCGAGUGGCGAACGGGUGAGUAACACGUGAGUAACCUGCCCUUGACUUUGGGAUAACUUCAGGAAACUGGGGCUAAUACCGGGUAGGAGCUCCUGCUGCAUGGUGGGGGUUGGAAAGUUUCGGCGGUUGGGGAUGGACUCGCGGCUUAUCAGCUUGUUGGUGGGGUAGUGGCUUACCAAGGCUUUGACGGGUAGCCGGCCUGAGAGGGUGACCGGCCACAUUGGGACUGAGAGACGGCCCAGACUGCUACGGGAGGCAGCAGUGGGGAAUAUUGCACAAUGGGCGGAAGCCUGAUGCAGCAACGCCGCGUGCGGGAUGACGGCCUUCGGGUUGUAAACCGCUUUCGCCUGUGACGAAGCGUGAGUGACGGUAAUGGGUAAAGAAGCACCGGCUAACUACGUG
rnacentral:rRNA from 1 species